rnacentral:rRNA from 1 species
CUACGGGGGGCAGCAGUAGGGAAUCUUCGGCAAUGGACGGAAGUCUGACCGAGCAACGCCGCGUGAGUGAAGAAGGAUUCCGGUUCGUAAAGCUCUGUUGUAAGAGAAGAACGAGUGUGAGAGUGGAAAGUUCACACUGUGACGGUAUCUUACCAGAAAGGGACGGCUAACUACGUGCCAGCAGCCGCGGUAAUACGUAGGUCCCGAGCGUUGUCCGGAUUUAUUGGGCGUAAAGCGAGCGCAGGCGGUUAGAUAAGUCUGAAGUUAAAGGCUGUGGCUUAACCAUAGUACGCUUUGGAAACUGUUUAACUUGAGUGCAAGAGGGGAGAGUGGAAUUCCAUGUGUAGCGGUGAAAUGCGUAGAUAUAUGGAGGAACACCGGUGGCGAAAGCGGCUCUCUGGCUUGUAACUGACGCUGAGGCUCGAAAGCGUGGGGAGCAAACAGGAUUAGAUACCCUGGUAGUC